rnacentral:lncRNA from 10 species
GUGAUUUCUUAGGACUUUAAUAGUAUAGCUGAUGUUAGGUCAUUAAUGAGGGCAGAUUUAAAAUGGAAGCCUGAGAAUGUGAUUUUAAGUGUAUUUUUUCUCCUCUAUAUAAGAGUUGUAAAAUGGAAAUCUAUCAAUUACCUGCUUAAGAAUCUCUCGUAGCUUCCUUUUGCCUAGCAUAUAAAAUCUGAACUGAAUCUUUUAUUCAAUAACUGACAUCAAUGUUUUCUUCUUUUCUCAUUCUUCUUAAUACUUUUUCAGCUCAAGUCAGACUAUUUUCAAGUCUGGAUUUUUUUUUCAGCCCUACCUUUGUAUUGUCAUCCAUAUUGUCUGUCUGCCUGAACCUCUUUAUUUUUCUAUCAACCCCUAUUUUUCUCCAUCUUAAAGCUCUAAUUCGUAGCCCUGCUCUAGGAGGCCCUCCAUGAUUGAUACUAACUGUGGCUGUUGUUUGGUUCUUGGCUUGGUUGGUUUUUAUUACUCUGGGCCCCCUCUUCUAGCUCUUUUAUUAAUACCUCAGAGAAUAGUUUGCAAAAACUAUGGCAACUUUACUAAUAUUUAGCUUUCAUCAUGGACUUAAUGGCAAAUGAGUGACAAACUUGUCUCCCUUGACAGUAGGCAUGAUUUCUGCUGCCUAUUGAAUUUCAAUGCUAUUGUGUUCUAUUUAAAAUUACUAAAACUCUCAUUUAUCUAUGAAGCCCUUAGCCCCACAGAUCUGCCUCAUGUGCUCAGUUUGUCUGUUUUAUAGUGUCUGUGCUCCUCAGGAGUCUAGAUAUUUUGGCCUGUGAAAACUUUCUCCCCUAGGGGUUUUGAUGACACCAUUUUAUGGUGAGGUGUCUCCUCUGGUAAGUUCUGAAUAUGGUGACACAUACAUUUAUUAAAUUAAUUUUUAAAAUUAGAAAUACAUAAACAUGUUAAAAAUCUCAACUGUUGUAUAGUGAAAUGCAAUCUUCCUUCCUCUUCUUCCUCCAGUCUCCUAGUUUCCCCGUCCAGAAGCAGUUACAGUUGUGUGCCACCUUCUAGAAAAAUUCACUGCAUAUACAAGAGAGGGGGAGAAAGCUAUGGAUUUUACUGGUUCACUUAAUAUAUUUGGAGCUUGUGUCCUAUCACUCAUAUUUUUAAGGACAUAUAGGAUUCCACUUUUUGAAUGUACCUUAAUUUCUUUAACCAGUUCUGUACUGAUGGGCAUUUAUCAUAUUAUCACUUUUCAUUCUUAUAAGCAGUACGUAUACAGUUUUGAAAAUGUAGAUGAUAUCUGUUGCAUAGACUACUAAAAAUAAAGUUGCUCAGCCAAAGGGAAGCACAUUUUAAAUUUUUAUGAAUUUGGGUAAAUUUCCCUUCAAUGAAGUUGCAUCAAUUUCCAUUCCCACCAAGAAUAUGUGACAGCUGUAUCUGGCAAACAUAUGUAUUUCCCUGGAACUUUGAUCUAUUUGAAAGAAGACUAGGAACACAUUUACAGUACUGUUACCAACAUCUUCUUCACUUUUGAUUUUUCUGUAAUUCUCCCUGCCAAAAUUUAACAGAACGCUGUCAUUUUCCUGACUCAUCGUCCUUUUAUUUCCACUUUGUAAAAAUGUCUGUGUUUGGUUUUAUGUUUUUAGGGGUGGCAUAGAAUCUUCCACCAGAACCCUGGAAGUGUAGGUCAGGAUGUUAGAAAUUCUUCUAAUAAAUAGUGUCCAGGAAACACUUCAUUAGAGUAAUUCUCUGGCACAGGGAGUCCUGGGUGGUGGCUCUUGUGACAAGCCCCUUUACCUAUGGUAUGUUGGAAAUUUAACCACAACCUUAGGGCAUGCAAUGAUUGUCUUUCCUUUAGGUGUUUAACUCAUAUAAUGUCUUAAAGAUAAAUGGCACCAGUAAUAUUUUAACAAUGUUCGGGUAUCCUUUGUUUCCAUAGUUACCUGGGUUUCUGUUAGCUUAAGACUUUAGAUGUGUAGCUUCAAACUCUGGGUUCUUCUUCAACUAGGUCAAGAGUUCACACAUUUUUCCACCCACUGGGCAGGCAAACCAAGUUGUAAUUGUUGCUUAUGAAGAGGAUCCUCAAAUGGUACAACACUCAAUUAGGUUAGAUUAAAUUCAGAGCAAUAAAAUAUUUCUGAGUAUGUUCUCAGAGAAACCCACAUCUUAGUUUUCCUUAUCUGAGAUCAUCUUUACCAGUUAAGAGGGCACACUUCAAAUAAUACAAACAUUCUUUAUAAAUUCAUUAUUUCCUAAAUCCCUUCCUAGUUUCAGUUUUGAUGAGCUCUUUUCAUAACUCUAGGUACUUUAGAUAUGCUUCUCUCAGCCUCGAUUUGGCUUUUAGGCUAAAGGGUUUUCCUAAUCACAGCAAGUGGGUCAAAAAUUAGGAUAGGCUUCCCAUGAAAGACUAAGUACAAUAAUUGAACAAAAGGGGUGAAAGUUGAUUAAAGUGAUGCGAGGAGUAAAUGGAUUCACUUUUACAGGAUCUUCUGAAAUCUGAGAUAAAGGACUGACUCCUUGGCUAAUCUCAGUGCAAUUACCUACUCAUGGAGAUCAAUACUUUUUUACUAUUAAAAAAUAGUGAAAAUUUUUAAGAUUGGUUAAGGAAGAGUAAUGUGUUAUUAGGGGAGGCAAGGAAAACUUAGAUCUAAUUUAGAUUUCUAUGAAAACAGUGGGCAUCAAUAGGAGAACAUAAAAAAGAGACGUGAGUAUUAGGAAAAUACCAAAAGGUUUGGUUAGAAACAAAUCCUCUUGUGAUAGGAGAUAAGACUGAAGACCAAACAGAAAUUAUAACUGCAUAGAUCUUGGUUUUAUUCAUUCAUUUGCUCAUUCAGCCUGUUCACUGGCUCCAACAUAGCUCUUGAUUCUAUCCCAUGUGACAUAUUCAUUGACCAACCAUGUGUUUUGGACAGAUCAGCAGCUAGAGAUCCAAAAACGACUGGUUAGAUGGAAUGUCUUAGGAAAUAGUGUCAUCAGUGGUGUACAAAAUGGUAUUAAACUUUCCCUGGAUGAUGGAUUAAAGAGAGAACAAAUUAAAGGCAUAGAUAUAGCCAUCUGCUAAUCAGGGUUUCACAAGGCAUCUGUACCUUAGGCCAUUCCUUUUGGGAUUUCCACUUGCAAAAAAUAUAGUGAAAUAAAACUUAAACUGAAUAGAAGAAAGAAUUUCUUAGACUCAUUCACAUUCAAUCAAUGUUUACUGAGUGCCUAAUAUGUGCCAAAUAUUAUACUAAAAUGCCGAGGAUACAGCAGAGGGACAAAAAUUCCCUGCAUUUGUGGUGCUUACAUUUUACUGAUACAGUUAAUGAAGAUCAUAAAAAUUUUAAACACUGGAGCAGUGAAGUGAGAUUAGGAAUCCCUGUGCCUUUAAAGAUUGAGAGACUAUCAUUUCCUUGGAAAGAAUUAUGUAUUAUCUUGCAUGUAUGUGUGAAGGCAAAUGAGUAAAGGAAAUGCUUCUUCAGCAACCUCUUUCAAUUCUCUAAAGUUAUUUUCAUUACCUAAAUAUUAAAGAGUGAGAAGGACUUGAGGGGAAAAAAAAUAAAGCUUUUUUUUUGUUGUUUUUUUGAGACAGGGUCUCACACUGUCACCAAGGCUGGAGUGCAGUGGUGCAAUCUCAGCUCACUGCAGCCUUGAUGUCCUGGGCUCAAUCAAUCCUCCCUCCUCAGCCUCCAGAGUAGCUGGGACCACAGGCAUGCGCCACCGUGCCUAGUUAAUUAUAAAACUUUUUUUAGAGAUGGAGUUUUGCUGUGUUUCCUAGGCUGGUCUCAAAUUCCUGUGCUCAAGUGAUAUGCCCACCUCAGGCUCCCAAAGUGCUGGGAUGACAGGCGCGAGCCACUGCACCUGGCCAAAAUAAAGCUUGACCUGAGUUGAUAUGAGGGUGAUGAGACUGAGUAAAAAGCCCAUAGGAUUCCAGCCUGUGUUCAUGUAAGUAUUCAGAACAAGAUAAUCUCUGCUACUCUCUACACUACUUUGAUUUAGGAGUGACUGUACUUGGCUUUAACAACCUCACUUAGGAGAGAUAUUGAGAAAGCCAAAUAUGACAACAUGUGGCUAUUCAGCAUAAUGCAGAAUCUGAAAAACACAAUACGUGAAAAUUGAUUCAACAAACUGGAGGAGAUUACGUGUUUGUUCUGAGGCUAUGUAAGCUUGAGUCAUGGUUCUGCUCUUUGCCCUCCGUGCAACCUUGGAAUAUUUUUACUUUAUUUCUUUGUUCUGUUUCCUCACAUAUGAAACAAAGAUAAUAACAUUGCCUACUAUAUCAAUUAGUAUAAUUAUAGCUUCAGGUAAUGGAAAAGCCAGGUAAUUUGGCUCAGUUCACAAAGACGUCACUUGUUUACUUAAUGAGAAAUCUAGAAGUACAUGGCUUAGGGUUAGUCUGGUGGUUCCACAAUGUGAGGAUUCUAGGUUCUCUAUGAUUUUCCCGACUUUACCUCCACUGUUGAAAAUGGCAGUGGUGGCUCCAGAAAUCUCAUUUUCAUAAUUUCAAGUCCAAAAUCUGGAAGAAGUGAGACCAGGUGGGGGUGUAAGACAGAGAGAAAACCCUCCAAACAUGUCUCUCUUCUUUUCAAAGGAAGAAAAAAUGUUUCCAAGAAUCCCUCUAGCAGAUGUUCUUCUAUGCCUUCGUAGCCAAAAUGGAAUUCCAAGGCCACUUCUAGCUGUAAGAGAGGCUGGGAAACAAAGUAUUUGGUUUGAUAUCCUCUUUAGCUGGAGAACAGGCAAGAAAGAUGGCACUAACAAAGCUGAACACACCGGCAUUGCAAAGGCUGUCUACCAAUUGCUUAAGUCCGAUGAGAUAGAAUACAUGUACAAGUAGGACAAAGUAGAUUAUUAUUUUAUCACAGAUUUAUUAUAGGCAGCAAGGAUAAACAGAAGCCUAGAAACCAGAGCAAGCCAGCUUCCUAAGGCUCAGGAAAGCUGCCCAGGGUGGAUGGAGUUCCGUGUGUGCAUGUCCCAUGUUGCACCACAACUGAGGGACCCUGAAAAGCAUGCUGCCCUGGGUUUAUAUAACCUGGGUGACAUUUGGCACGCUAAGCUCAAGCAUUGCAGAACAUCCUGUUCUAGGAGAAACGAGGACACAGUUUGGGUUGUUCUGGGCAUUUCCUCCUUAUCUCAGGAUGUUGAAUUCUCGGUACAUUCUGCCUGAGAAUUACAUGCAAGAGAGGGAAGAUCUGGGUCAGCCAACAUGAUCUGUCAUCUGGAGACCUGCCCUCUUGUACAUCUCAGAAUAUUACUGUAAAUAUUAAGUGGGAAGAAACGUGAAAUAAUUUCCAUGGCAUGUAAACAUUCAAAAAUGAUAACAAUUAUUUGUCAUCUUUAUUUGCACAGAAGAAGAAGCAUUUUAAUGGAGAGACUUUUUGUGAUGCGUGUACAGAGGACAUUAUUAGUGAAAUAACAGCAAACUUGCUAUUAAUGAGAUCUGCUCAAAAUCUCUAUGAGGUAGUGAAUGCCCCAUCAUGAAGAUUUUCAUGCAGAAUUGGGAUGACCUCUGUUCUUCAGGUAGGAACUUGGAUUAGAUAUGUCUAGGAUUUCUUCCAGUUGAAGUUCCUGUGAUUCUACAAUAGGGUAGUCUGAGGAUCAAGAUACAAAUUUCUUCUCUUAUCUUAAAAUGGACUUAAUUUGCGUUUAGAUAAAUUGCAAUGUUCUGGCUAGAUCCAAAUUUCUAAAAUGAGGAAUAUUAAAAGUCUAACCAUUACAACUCUACUGGCCAGUGUGAUUCAUGCAUCAUUUUCAGAGAAGAGAAUAGCUGCUUAGAUACUGAAAGGUACAAAAUGAUAGUAUUUUCUCUUGUUUAGAGGUACAGAAUCCACUUUAUUUUUAGAUCUUGACAUUCUAAAUACUUAUAUCUCUUCAAGAUAAAAAAAGAACAUUGUUUAUUUUAGUCAGUAUCUUUCCCUUUCUCAUUUGUUUAUACAUUCUUAAAAUAACCAUAUAGUUCUCAUUUAUCAAACUUCCCUAUUGCAUGUACAUUCUUUCUUCCUUCGUUAGGAUUUGGUAAGAGUGCUAUGAAUGUGUUAGAAUGGUGUAAAUGAUACUUGCUGUGUAUGAUUUUUUCCCCCUCCCCAAGCCUGCCAGGGGAGCGAGGUGUUAAAUCUCAUGAGAUUCUUUUACCAAGUCCAAGUUUUAAAUAAAUGAAACUUGUACAGACUCCAACAUACCAUCUUGAGAUAACCUCAGGCCCUGAAGUGUAUCGACAAGCAGAAUGAUCUCAGCCAAGUUGUAAAACUGUCUUUGAAAAGAAUAGCUGGAUGAAAAACAUUAGCAGCAACUGAAUCAAGAGAAAACGUGACUUCAAACUGAAAGGCACUCUCAUGGUAAAUACAUAGUAAAACCAUGUUCUGCAACUUCAUAUUUUCGUAAUGCUUUAAGCUACCCAAGGAGCCCAUGCAGAUAUGCAAAGCUACUCAUUGAGAAGCUCAGCUUAUCCCUACAUAUGCCAUCACCAGUUUUUCACUUAACGUUUUCUCCUCAACCCCUUUCUAUUUGGCUUCCAUUCUACUACUCACCAACCACCUUCAGUUUGCAAAAUCCUAUGCAGAUCUUACCUUAACUUUUCAGCAUCAUUCAGUAAGGUUAAAAACUUUUCCUUCUAGAUGGUUUUGGUGGCACCAGAGUCUUCUUGUUUUCUUCUUUCUUUUUUAGCUGCACUUUCUCAGUAGUAUUUGCUGGCUCUCCUUCCUUUACUCCAACUCUUACUGUUGUAGUUUCACUGAUCUUGGAUUGAGUUCCUCCCUUUGUUUUCCUAUUUAUACUCUCUGACUAAGGUUCAAAAUUGUCUUUAUCUGUUGUAAAAUCUGUGUUUCAAGACUAGAACUUCUCCUCUAAAUCCCAUCUAUCUGAUGACUGAUAGAUUUCAGACUGAACAUGCUUAGAAUAAAAUGCUUAGCCAUGGCUGUUCCCUGCUCCCUGGCCACAGUUGCCAUACACCUUCAUCCUUCCUCAGUUUUCUCAUGGUAAAUGUUACCAUCAUCCACUCAGUUAAUAAUACCUGAAACCAGGGAAAUGGUCCUGAAAUUAGUCCUUUUUUAAAUAUCACCUUCACAUGUAGCCAAUCAGCAAUUCCUACAAUUUAUAUUCCAGAAUAUAUGUCAAGUCCAUCUACUUUUUCCACCUCCACCGCUGUCACCUAGCUCAAGCCACCAUCAUCCUUCACCUAUUCUAUUGCAGUAGCCUCCUAGAAGGUCUCCUAGCUUCCUUUAUUAGCCCUGUACAAGCCAUUCUCUGCAUGGCAGCAGAAUAAUCUUUUAAAAACUGAAAUCAUACCAAUUACUCCUUACCCAAAAGUAUUGAAGGGUUCCUGUUGCAUGUUGAACAAAAUCUACACUCCUUAUCAUGGCCUAUGGAGUGCUUCAUGUUCCCAACCUUGGCAAUGUUUUUUAACAUGCUACCAGUUCUUUCUGUUUCUUACUAAGUCCAGCUCACAUUGACCUAACACACUAACCUCUUUCCUGUCUCAGGCCCUUUGCCCUUGCUGUUACCUCUCUUAGAACAUCCUUUGUUGCUUUGCAUAGCCCAUUCCUCCUCAUUCUUCAUUUCUCAGCUUAAAUGCCACUUCAUCAGAGACGCCUUUUUCAAAAACUUUACCUAAGUUUUUAUUUGUUUUUCUUUUUUCCUGAGCUGAUAGGAAGACAACUCUGUUAUCUUUAGGAUUUCAGAUGCUUUUAGAAUCAAACCUGGAAAGGAUACAAAAAGCAGAAGCAAAACCAACAUUUGGGAGAAGAACAGAUUAAGACAGUAGCUUAUAUUGAAACAUCACUUCUCAUUUGCUGUUUGGACAAUGGUGAUGGAACUGCUGCUUUAUUGCCCACGGAGAAGCGAAGUGAAGAGUCUAAAGUGGGUCUUGCAGUUACACUGGACAAAAGAAGUUUGAAACUGAGGCUUGGUCCUGAAGAAAACAUAGAGAAGCCUGACAGAUUAUAUAUAUUCACAGCUUUGACUUAAAGGUUGCUGGUUGACCAAUAAGUAAUACAAGAAGAAAUGGUCUUUUCUGGAAUUGUCCUUCUUUCCAGGUAUCAAUGGUGAGCAGAAGAGGAGCAGGGAAUGAUGAAAGACCACACAUUCUCCAAAAGUCACUAAGCACUGUCUGCAGAUGGAACAUUCAUAUUUUCACAUAGUAUAAGUCAUAUGAUCUUUGAUCCUCCAUGUAUUGCUAUCCAGCCAUUUACUUUAGAAUGUCAGCCUUUAUACUGAUAUCACACACAUGUUGUAAAAUGUAGUGAAGAUAAACGGGUGAAGUUAAACUUACAAUGCUUUUGCUGUUAUCCAUAAAAAUGCAAUAGGUAUUGCAUAGAAUUAGUUACAAGCACAAAACUGUGAUACCCUAUAUGCCCCUGUUACAAGAAAGUUGUCAUUUUACAUUAUGGGUAUUUAUUCGAUAUUUUCAUAGUUUAAUUACUAACAAAGCAUUAAUAAUGCCAGAUUGUGCUGACAAACAUUGCAGUCUCUGAAUAGGAGAAAGAAUAUAUUCUUUGCACCAUUAUACAAUGAUUUAGAACUUUAAUAGUGUGCUGGGGAAAAAACAUGUAUCUGUAACCUGAAAUAGUUGUUUUACCUCCCUGAGUACAAAAUAUGUCACACAUUCUCUCCUAAAUGUAUUCUCUAUUUUUACCAGUCAUUUUGUUGCUAAAAUGUAAGAUAUGGGGAUGGGAUGUGGGUGAUUGUCUCCGUCCUUUUGGGCUUCUAUAACUAAAAUACCUUAGACUGGGUAAUUUAUAAACAACAGGAAUUUAUUUCUCACAGUUCUGGGGGCUGGAAAGUCCAAGAUCAAGGCUGUGGUGGGGUUUGGCUGGCGAGGGCUCCAUCCUUCUUGCUAUAUCUUCACAUGGUGGAAGGAGCAAACAAACUCCCCCAGCCCUCUUUUACAAGGGCACUAAUAUUAUUUGUGAGGGCUCCACUCUCAUGACUUAAUCACCUCCCCAAAGACCCUACUUCUUAAUACUAACACAUUGGGGAUUAAUCUUCAACAUAUGAAUUUUGGAGGAACACAAACAUUCAGACCAUAGCAAUGUUUAUUGGGGUGAAUGCUCAUUUAACUUUUCCCAGAACAAUCCCUGUUAAGUCUGCUAACCUCCUGUAGUUAAUGAUAAAAUUUCCUUCAUUUUCCGAAGUGUUCUUGUUUGGAUUAUAAAUUAUGUAAUUACCCUAAUGACAAUUAACUAGACAUUUUUUUUCUUACUGUAUAGCACCAGUAUGGGCAAUUGCAGUGGCUUUCAAACUUGACUACAACUCAGGGAGAAAUACAUUUUUCAUCAUAACGUAGUACACACACACACACACACACACACACACACACACGCACACACACACACACAUACACUAGAUAAAGCAAAAGCUUUAGGAAAUGGUACUUGGAUAUUUUCAAAUAUAUUUUAGUCUGUUUUUUAAUUAAAAAUCUCUAGUCAUGAUACAUUAAAUUGACUUAUUGACCCACAGCUUGAAAAAACACCAAUAUUUUGGAUGUGUUUUAAGGUCAUAGAACACGCCUUCUGAUUUUUUUCCUUCCCUAGGUAAUCCUAUGCAAGUUGCCAAUCUUCUCUAAACAACACUCUUCUUCAUCUAUAAAGUAAAUAUUAAUACCUACCUGAAGGUGGCAGAGAGAGUUAACUGAGAUAAUUUGGUUAAUGAGCCUGAAAUCUAGUCAACACUUACUAAAGGUAAUUUCUUCUCCUCUCUUCCGCUUCUAAACCAACAGGACACAGCUGAAGUUCACAGGUUUGUAAAAGUGAAAAAAUAUUUUUCUUAACCCCCUGACCUCUAAAGUUUGGUCAGAGUGUUUAGCCACUGAUAAAACAUCUUUAAGCACUGUUACUUCUAUGUUCAACUAAAAGAGUCACUUUUCAGUAAUUUCCGGUCAAGCCCAUCACAAUAGCACUUGCAGCUUCUCAAAAGAAAAGAAAGAAAGAGAGAGAAAGAAAGGAAGAAAGAGAAUUGAAGGAGGAAAGAAGGAAAAAAAUCAUGAUGAAGAUUUUAAAACAUGUCUUAUUGAGGGAUGGGAUGGUGAGGAAGUUGAUUAUAGUGAUGGAUGUGACAGACAGGGCCCGUACUUCUGUUUCUGUUCUCAAACUAACAGUUUUCACACAUAACCGUUUUCACACAUAACACAUUAGUAGAAUUUCUUUUGAAUAUUUGCCUUGGAAAUAAAACAAUAAUAAUAUAGCAUUUAUUAUAUUUAUUAUAUAUAGAGUGUGUGUGUGUGUGUGUCUGUGUGUGUGUGUAUCCCACAUGUCCACAUGAGAAAUAAUGAAAGAAGAUGGAGCCCAAGUAAGAGAGUCCUGAUGCCCCAUAAUGCAGAGAGACAAAGAAGUGAUGAAAUCAAGUACUCUACCUCUGGGCCGCCAGAAUCCAGGCCUGGUUCCAGAGUCCUCUGGUUUUCACCGUGUUGGGGUGGGGCCUCCCCGGGUGCACAGCUUUUCUGCACUGGUUGGCAUCUACUGAACCUUAGGUGAUCACAGCAGUGGUAAAGACAAGCCAGCUUCCGUCUUUCCAUAGUUUGUUCCCCUGUACUUCAGGAGGGAGGGGAGCCCCUCUAUGGAAUGCAAUACACACUAGGCAUCCUAUCACUAUGUAAGAACUCAUCUUGCUCCCUCAUUUCACAUUACAUCUUUGACUGUCUUGCUCAGUUGUUUCACCUUGGCUAGUUUUUACUCUUUGGCGAGUACUCUCACAACUCUCUUGUAGGCAGGAGCCCAUUUUCUUUUUCUGAGUACUCUGGACUCCUUGCAUGGUGCUUCCUGGGCAAGGGGUGCUCAACAAAUUGUGCUGAUAAUUAAGUCAUUCACUCAAAAUAUAUUUAUUAAGCACCUAGUGACCAAGACAGAAAAAAGUUACUAUUGACCUUCAAAUCACCAAAUCUAAUGAUCAUUCCUUACUGCUCAUCUUCCUCCACCAUUGCUACCUUAGAGGCCUCCCGUGCCUGCCUCCAUUUCCCAGACUUACUGCUUGAUUCUCCCUGGCAAGCUUUCCCUUCACCAUUUUUUUUUCAGCACUUGUAAGGAACUGAAUCUGUCCCCAAUAGUACACAGUUUGAGUUAGAGCCAGGACUAGAACUCAGGCCUGCAUAUAAUCAAAGAUCAGAAAACGGCCAAAUCUUGGUGUUUCUAUUCACAGGGAGGAAACCCAGAUGGGCCUACUCACAAUACAUGCUUCCAAAUGAAAGAACGUUUUUCCCCCUAAGGACAUUGUUAGGACACUGUCUAGCUAGAAGAUAUUCAGAGAAAAUUCACUCCUUUACCUGCCCUAGGGAAAUGGGAAAAUUCAAUGUUUGAGCCAUUUACCCAAAAGAGUAAUCCAUGCUGGAAAUUUUGCUGAAAGUAUUCUUUUAAAAGGCCCUUCUGUCUUUAUUAUGACGAUAAGACUGCUGAGUCUGCCCAAGCAUAUGAGGUUGCAAAGAAUAUUUCUUUUUAUUCAGACCUUGUAUUCUCUACAUGAUGAAAGGAUUCUUGGCACAUAGUUGGCAAUUACUAUCUAGGUUUUCUGCAUAACAUAGGUUUUUUAAACUAAGCUUUUAACUCAAUAGACAUCAGGCUCCAAUGAAAAUACAUGUGGCCUAACACGAGCAGAAAUAAACACAAUUCUAAUCAACUUAACUGUUGACAAAAGCAUGUGGUUUCAUUGCUUGCGGCCAAAGUUGUAAGAGUGGACUCUGAUUUCUUGCAGGAACACCCCUCAUUUAUGUGUGCAAAUAGGGUAAUUAAGUGUCCAAUUACCAGAUUUGCAUUGGCAAAUGGGGGCUUUGUGUGGGUAAAAUUCUCCAUGGUUUGGGACCAGCUGAAACUUAGGUCUUUUCUUUUUGGAUCAAUCCCCCAACAAUAACACGGGCAUGAUGAAGUUCCCUUCUUGUCCUGAUCUGAAGCCAUGGCUGAAGACUUCCCUUAUUUUGGUAAUUCAGUGAAGCGGAGAGCCAAAGUUAGGAUCUGGGGCCUUUUCUUCCUUACUGUCUACUCUGAAAAAUAAUUAAGCAUUUCAAGUAUUUUCAGACUGACUUUUUUUUUUUCCUGCUGGCUCUGUAGAAUUGAUUACUAAGGUGAAAUACUUGUAAAUAUUCCUUUUAAAAAUUUAACCAUAUGGAAGCAUUAAGUUGAAAGACACUUCAUAAAACAACUUUAUUCUUUUCU